rnacentral:rRNA from 1 species
UACGUAGGGUGCAAGCGUUAAUCGGAAUUACUGGGCGUAAAGCGUGCGCAGGCGGUUUUGUAAGUUUGUCGUGAAAUCCCCGGGCUCAACCUGGGAAUGGCGAUGAAGACUGCAAGGCUAGAAUCUGGCAGAGGGGGGGUAGAAUUCCACGUGUAGCAGUGAAAUGCGUAGAGAUGUGGAGGAACACCGAUGGCGAAGGCAGCCUCCUGGGUCAAGAUUGACGACU